UUCCUUUUCAAUUCCAGCCGCCAAGGCGAC
rnacentral:sRNA from 1 species